rnacentral:lncRNA from 1 species
UAUGGAAAGCAAGGUGCCCUGACUUAGUUUUAAGCAGAGUAGUGGCUGACCUCAGCUUAAUCAAACAAAAUUCCAGUGUUUUCACUGCACCCAAAGCCUCAUACGAGGCAGCAAAGUCGUCAUUUGCUCACAGCAUUUCAGCCUUAGGAUCUGUGGCAGCCACAGCCACAUUUUCCAGCUGUGGCCAGAGUUCGUGUCCUUCAGGUGACCUUCCUAGAGGAGUCUACCUUCACUUGAGCUACCUGUUUCCCCAUUAUCAAAAUAAGAUCUCUGCAAUGCAACCUAAGUGCUAGAGGGAGUUUUCCAUGUUGUGAGAGCUGAUUACAAGAAGUUAUCUAGAUUUCUUUGGGUCUGUUUCUCAAUCUUUAGCAGGUUACUUCAUUAGCAUUGUAAACCCAAUCUGGGCAGUAAAAGCCAUUAAUAACUAAAUGCUUCAUUUACAGUUUCCCACAAGAAUUAGUCUUCCUCAGAAAAAUCUCUCUGAGAGAGGCAAAGACUUGUAGUAAUUUGAAUAUGUUGUAAAAAAAUUUUUUUUAAUUUGAAAAAUGUUCUGAGACCUUUUACUGUCAUCUCUGGAUUGAUCUAAGAUUAGCAUGGUAGAUUUAAGAGGAGGGCUGCGCUGAAGAACAGAUUAGCUGUUGCUAAUGCUUUCUUAACAAGCAUUGUAUGUCCACCCCCUAAUUUUCCUAGCCAACCAACCAAGGUUCUAAAAAGUUGCUUCUUUCUGCCCAAGUGGUUGCAGAUUUCCCUCUCAUUUCAAUAUAGUGCAUGUCUCUGUCACUGUUGUCUGAAAGAGGGCAAAACUUUGUACUAGUUGUUACAAUGGGGUAAACCAGAGACUCAUCUAGUUAUCAGUCUCUACUUGCCCUUACUUGCAAGCUAGUAAGUUAGCCACAGGUUUGUGGAUGUGGACAGAAGACACAAGGGUCUUAGGUCAGAGACGAAGGCCUUAUUACUUGCAGCAGUAGUGAUAGGCGGAGGAUGAGCAUUGUCUUGCACCAUUUCCCUAUGGCCAGGUUCCCAUAGGGCAAGGCAAAAAGACCAGUGUCACCUGUACUUAGUCCUGUGUUACCUGAGAGGAACUCUGAGCUUAGAGAACACAAAUCUUUUGUAAUAGGCAGUAAACCGGUCUGCCCUUUGCCCUGGAGGGGAACACUGUGUUCCAAGGCUGUAAGCAUACCCAUCCUUUGCUCCAGAAAGAACCAGACAAUAUAUCAUCCAAGGUUAUUGUUCACUAUAGAAGCAUCAUUGAAAAGAUAGUCCACAACAAAAGCAGUCAGUGCCCCUUCUAACUAUAUGUGCAGAAAUGCAACAGACCAGUGGAGCAUUAUUUUCCCACAUGGUCUCAUAACAAUUUAUGUUUGCCUGAAACUCCCUAGCAUUGGAGAGUUCUUGAGAAUAUAUUUAUUCUAGCCCUACCAAUCCUUGAAGACAUAUCUAGGCGGAGACUAUAAGAUAGAGGUCAAAAAAACUUUUUCUAUAAAGGGCAAGUUAGUAAAGAUUGUAAGCUUUGCUUGCUGUGCAAUGUGUUGCACAUACACUGCUGUUGUAGUACUAAGCAGCCAUAGACAAAGUGCAAAUGAGUCAGUGUGACAAUCAAGUGUUACAAUACAACUUCGUUUAUGGACAUUGACAUUUGAACUUUAUAUAAUUAUUAUAGGUCAUGAAAUACUAUUUCCCUUUUGAUUUUUUUUCACUGUGCCCAUGGCAUGGGAAAGUUCUUAGGCCAGGGGUCAAACCUGCGCCAUAAGAGCAACCCAAGCCACAGCAGUAACAACUGAGCCACGACAGGAACUCUGAAAGUUUUUUUGCAUUUAUAGAUUUUCAGUGAUGUUGUAAUUGUUCCCACCCCCACCCCCAGUUUUUUAAAUCAUUAAAACUAAACAAAAUUAAGUAGUGUUCACUAGAAUACAGAAUGGAUUUGGUGAGAAUGUUGUGCUAGAGCAGCUUUAUUUAUAGAUCUUAAUAGACUUAUUGGGCUGAUAAUUAGGCUCAGUAACUCUGAUUUCAGCAAAAUAUAUGGCAAAAACUUUAUACAUUAUCUCUGUUAAUAAAAUAGGGAGAAUUGUCCUGGAAAAGAGAAAGUUAGGCAGCUUCAAACCUGGUUCAAUAUUUAUACCAAAAUAAUGCCUUUUUUUGGUUUGUUUUUUGACUGUGACACGAGAAAGUUCUGUGUUCAGGGAUCAAACCUGUGCCACAGCAGCAACCCAAGCCACAACAGUGACAAUGCCAUAUCCUUAAACCUGCUGAGCCACCAGGGAACUUUUGAUUUUUUUUUUUUUAAUGUCAGCCUGAAAAAAAGUUUCCAACAGCAUGCCACAGGACUUUGUACUUGGUCCUAUUCUGUUCAACAUUUUUGUCAACAUGGAAGAUGUGAGUCAUCUUUAUCGAAUGUAUGGAAGAUAUUUAGGAGACUAACUAAUACAGUGGGUAACAAAAUCAUUAAAAAAUCUCUGUGAUGACAGGCUGAAGAAAGUUUUUAAAUAUAAACAGAUAUAUGUAUAAAACCCCUUCACUUAGGUAUAUACAACUAACAAAUACAAUCCAAAGAAGACUUCACUUAUUAGUAUUUCAAAUGAAAAAAGACCUGUAAGUUUUAAUUGACCACAAACUUAAGUAGCCUCACUGCCAAAAAAAUAAUUUAAGCUUAGGCUGCAUUAAAAUUUUUAUCAUUUUUUAACAAGAAAACUUUUUUUUAAUUAGGGCCACACCCAUGGCAUGUGGAAGUUUCCGGGCUAGGGAUCAAACCCAUGUCCUCCUGGAUACUACUCAGGUUCAUUACUGCUGAGCCACAGUGGGAACUCCUUAACAAGAAAGUUUUUUUGUGGACGUCCCUUGUGGCUCCCAUUAUAACUACUUGGCAUUGUCUCUGCAGUGGUUCUGGUUUGAUCCCUAGCCUGGAAACUUCCAUGUGCUGCAGGUGUGGUCACAUGUUGAAAAAAAAGUAAAAAGAAAGGUUUUUUGUGCUAUGAAAUUAUUCAGACCACAUUAAAAGGACUACAUUGAGUUCUGAGAGCUGCUUAUUAAAAGGAACAAUGACAAACCAGAGCAUACCCAAAGGAAAGUGAUUUCAAUGAAAGGUCUAUACAUCACGUGAGAUAAGUAGCUAGUUUUUCAGUGCUUACUUUGUCCUAAGCCUUUUGCUAAAUGCUUUACAUCUAUUAUCUGAUUUUAUCUCCUCACAAGAACUCUAUGAGGGCUUUGUUAUGCCUAUUUUACAGAGAAGAAAAUUGAGGCUUAGGAAUUCCCUGGUAGCUCAGCAGGUUAAGAAUCUGGUAUUGUCACUUCUGUGGCUCUGGUUACUUCUGUGGUGUGAAUUCAAUCCCUGGUCUGGGCACUUCCACAUAAGG